CAGAAACGUCGCUCUCUGUUAUUAUAAAUAUUAUUUCAUAUAACUCUCCAUGCUUUAGUGGACAAUUCGUAAAAUUCGCAGGACCGUCAAUCGUGAAUACGUCACCGGCCAGCUUAUUAGUCUGUUAACAAGUAAACGCAAUAGAUAAGAAUAUUCGUGUAUCGCGAUCUUGGAUGAUGGAAACACUCGAUUUCUGAGAUUUGACGAAAUUUCUUCCACUUUGAUGCGAAAGCACUGUAGAUGACCACCUGUCCUCCAAGGAUGAAGCCAUUGAAUGUCGACUAUACCGUGGUCACGAGUCGUGAGAGUAAAAUUGCGUGGUACGUCGAGCUCUAAAAAGUGAUCAAGCUGUACACCCAAGUCAAAACAAUCAAUAUGUGGACAUCCCUUUUCGUUCGAACCGAAAAUGAGACAACUAUUGUGCCCGUACUAUUACGAUAUAUAUCACGGUAGAGAGGCUCAUAUUUAAAUACUGUGAAUGCUAAAAGUUUAAAUACACGUUGCUUAAAGUUAUUCUACUUUCUUGUUUUGCUGUUUAUCAGUAGGGGUUAAUUUAACCCUUCGUAAUUAUAAUUUGAAAUUAUUGUAUUUUUUCUCAAACAGCGGAACUUUUACCUUCCGAUCGUUUAUCGAAAACAGGACCCAUAUGUGUACUAGCAGAAUGUGUGAACUUCCAAUGUUCUCUGUUCCACCGUGUUAAACAUCCAUAACUCUCGUUCAUUUCACAAUCUAUCUCAUUAUUGCUAAAGUUACA